rnacentral:misc_RNA from 1 species
GAUGAAGAACGCAGCGAAAUGCGAUAAGUAGUGUGAAUUGCAGAAUUCAGUGAAUCAUCGAAUCUUUGAACGCACAUUGCGCCCCAUGGUAUUCCGUGGGGCAUGCCUGUUCGAGCGUCAUUUACCCCCUCAAGCUCCGCUUGGUGUUGGGCGUCUGUCCCGCUUCGCGCGCGGACUCGCCCCAAAGGUAUUGGCAGCGGUCGUGCCAGCUUCUCGCGCAGCACAUUGCGCUUCUCGAGGCACCGGUGGGCCCGCGUCCAUCAAGCUCACCCCCCCAGUUUGACCUCGGAUCAGGUAGGGAUACCCGCUGAACUUAAGCAUAUCAAUGCGGAGGA